UAGUCUAGUUAUGUCUUCUCAAGGAGAUAUA
rnacentral:piRNA from 1 species